UACAGAGGGUGCAAGCGUUGUUCGGAAUUAUUGGGCGUAAAGCGCGUGUAGGCGGCUUUGCAAGUCGGGUGUGAAAGCCCUCAGCUCAACUGAGGAGGUGCGCCCGAAACUGCAGAGCUUGAGUGCCGGAGAGGGUGGCGGAAUUCCCCAAGUAGAGGUGAAAUUCGUAGAUAUGGGGAGGAACGCCGGUGGCGAAGGCGGCCACCUGGACGGUAACUGACGCUGAGACGCGAAAGCGUGGGGAGCAAACAGG
rnacentral:rRNA from 1 species